CCUACGGGAGGCAGCAGUGAGGAAUAUUGGUCAAUGGACGAGAGUCUGAACCAGCCAAGUAGCGUGAAGGAUGACUGCCCUAUGGGUUGUAAACUUCUUUUAUAUGGGAAUAAAACGUUCCACGUGUGGGAUUUUGUAUGUACCAUAUGAAUAAGGAUCGGCUAACUCCGUGCCAGCAGCCGCGGUAAUACGGAGGAUCCGAGCGUUAUCCGGAUUUAUUGGGUUUAAAGGGAGCGUAGGUGGAUUGUUAAGUAAGUUGUGAAAGUUUGCGGCUCAACCGUAAAAUUGCAGUUGAAACUGGCAGUCUUGAGUACAGUAGAGGUGGGCGGAAUUCGUGGUGUAGCGGUGAAAUGCUUAGAUAUCACGAAGAACUCCGAUUGCGAAGGCAGUUCACUGGACUGCAACUGACACUGAGGCUCGAAAGUGUGGGUAUCAAACAGGAUUAGAUACCCGUGUAGUC
rnacentral:rRNA from 1 species